AUUGAACGCUGGCGGCAGGCCUAACACAUGCAAGUCGAGCGAGCGGCGGACGGGUGAGUAAUGUAUGGGGACUGCCCGAUAGAGGGGGAUAACUACUGGAAACGGUGGCUAAUACCGCAUACUGUCAGCUACCCCAUCUGGUAUUAGCUAGUGGGUAAGGUAAUGGUUUACCUAGGCGACGAUCCCUAGCUGGUCUGAGAGGAUGAUCAGCCACAAUGGGACUGAGGCACGGCCCAGACCCCUACGGAGGCAGCAGUGGGGAAUAUUGCACAAUGGGCGCAAGCCUGAUGCAGCCAUGCCGCGGGUAUGAAGAAGGCCCUAGGGUUGUAAAGUACUUUCAGUCGUGAGGCGUUACCGACAGAAGAAGCACCGGCUAACUCCGUGCCAGCCGCCGCGGUAAUAC
rnacentral:rRNA from 1 species